rnacentral:rRNA from 1 species
GACGAACGCUGGUGGCGUGCUUAACACAUGCAAGUCGAACGGAAAGGCCCUGCUUUUGUGGGGUGCUCGAGUGGCGAACGGGUGAGUAACACGUGAGUAACCUGCCCUUGACUUUGGGAUAACUUCAGGAAACUGGGGCUAAUACCGGAUAGGAGCUCCUGCUGCAUGGUGGGGGUUGGAAAGUUUCGGCGGUUGGGGAUGGACUCGCGGCUUAUCAGCUUGUUGGUGGGGUAGUGGCUUACCAAGGCUUUGACGGGUAGCCGGCCUGAGAGGGUGACCGGCCACAUUGGGACUGAGAUACGGCCCAGACUCCUACGGGAGGCAGCAGUGGGGAAUAUUGCACAAUGGGCGGAAGCCUGAUGCAGCAACGCCGCGUGCGGGAUGACGGCCUUCGAGUUGUAAACCGCUUUCGCCUGUGACGAAGCGUGAGUGACGGUAAUGGGUAAAGAAGCACCGGCUAACUACGUG